rnacentral:lncRNA from 1 species
CUUUAUGGAGAGUGGCCAGACAGAGGCCACUUGACAGCACGCCUGGACUUUGCAAAAAGAUCGCUAGAGUAACUUGUUCAGACCAGAGUGAAUUUGAAGCAUGGGACAAGAAGUGGUUACUGCCAUGGCUGGAAUCCUCUGGGCGACGCUUCCUCUGACACCGGUCUUCCUCAAUGGGGUAUCUGCGGUCCAGAUUCAGUGAUGUUUGAGCUCUUCGACCAGAUUGUGCCAAACCCUCACAUCCGGUUCGACGGAAGAACAGAAAACAAGAAUGGGUGGACUCUGACUGUUCAAAUGCUUUGAUGGAUGUAGAGUGGAAGACAGAUCCAACUCAGAUUUCCUCUGAGAAAUACAGCUCAGAAGACAAGAGCUCAGUGGAGGUUCCAGGUGACUAUAGCCUAUAGGGAAUCAUCUCAGUGGGGUUCAAUCAUCAGCUCCCUGCUGUAGACCUGAAUACCUACCACUGUAUGCAUGAGGUGCCUCCAGAGAUGUACAGUACUGUAUACUGGCACUGAAUAAUCAUAAUGUAUUUUCUAAUGUUAUAUUUUUCCAAAAAAAG